UUUCAGUAGGCGCAGAGAAGGAUUUUAUCCGGAACUGUUCUUACUUCUUUGACAAGAACACUUAUGUUAUUCAUUUAGCGUGAGUUGCGACUGUCUCUUUUACUUUGAGAAAAUUAGAGUGUUCAAAGCAGGUGUCCGCCUGAAUAUUACUCUUGGAAUAAUGCUAUAAGGCUUUGGUUCUAAUGUAUUGGUGAUUGGGACCAGAGUAAUGAUUGAUAGGGACGGUUGGGGUCUCACGUACUGCAAAGCGAGAGGUGAAAUUCUUGGACCUUUGUAUGACGAACAACUGCGAAAGCAUUUGACUAGGACGUUCCCGUUGAUCAAGAACGAAAGUUGGGGGAUCGAAGACGAUCAGAUACCGUCGUAGUCUCAACCAUAAACUAUGCCAGCUAGGGAUCGGAGGAUGUUAUUAAUAUCGACUCCUUCGGCACCUUAUGAGAAAUCAAAGCAUUUGGGUUCCGGGGGGAGUAUGGUCGCAAGGCUGAAACUUAAAGGAAUUGACGGGAGGGCACCACCAGGAGUGGAGCCUGUGGCUUAAUUUGACUCAACACGGGAAAACUUACCAGGUCCGGACAUAGUAAGGAUUGACAGAUUGAAAGCUCUUUCUUGAUUCUAUGGGUGGUGGUGCAUGGCCGUUCUUAGUUGGUGGAGUGAUUUGUCUGGUUAAUUCCGUUAACGAACGAGACCUCAGCCUGCUAAAUAGUUGGGCUUUCUUUAGAAGGUGCUAACUUCUUAGAGGGACUACUUGUGAAACAACCAAGCGGAAGCUUGAGGCAAUAGCAGGUCUGUGAUGCCCUUAGAUGUUCUGGGCCGCACAUGGGCUACACUGGUGCAUUCAACAAGCACAAUCAACUCAGCCGUAAGGUUUGGUUAAUCUUUGAAAUUGCACCGUGCUUGGGAUAGACUAUUGCAAUUUUUAGUCUUCAACGA
rnacentral:rRNA from 1 species